CAACAUUGAAAAGGCAUGUUUUGUCUCCUUUCCCUCGGUUCCUACCAUGUGCUUUCAGGUGAGUAGAGAUGUGAUGGUGCUGAGUGCAAUUUGCUCCGUCGGUGUAGUCUGCCUUCUGUCUAAAGGGUGCGCUGGAGAGAAGGUAAGCCAACUACUUUAUGCUGAUUCUAGCAGUCUUAUUCUGAGCUACUGCACUUGCUGUUAAGUUGGGAGGUGUGUUAAGCCUGGGAUUUAAACUAGAUUUGAUGUAGUGAGCUUGUUCUGAGGCCUGUGGUAUGUUUUGCCCACAAAUAUAUUACUUGUACUGGAAAUCCUGAACUUGAAGGGAAGGCUUCGGCACUGAAGGGAUAUCCUGCGUCAUCUGUUCUCAGCACUUUUGUUUUCUCACAGGCUUAAGGAAAUUUGAACAAACUUGUAUAAAUUGUUCUCAAUGGCUCUGUUACCUGAUCUGUUUAAUCAAAUUUGACUUGCUUGCAGUGAACUUCAGCACAGGCUCAAACUCUGCUAAGGCUUCUCAUGCUAUCCUGUAACUCUUUGAUGUGCACUGGCAAACCUCUAGUUUUUAUCAGGUUGCAUUUGCACAGGCUUUAGGGCUCUCUUAAGAGGGCAUUCACAGUGUAAUCUCCAUGCUUUGGCUGAUAGGAAGAAAUAACAUAAAAAUAUAUUGAAUUGUUUUCUGUGCUUGUUUAGCGACCUGCAGUAUUUGGCUGAUGGAGCGGUCAGCAGCACAUUAGGCUGUACUUACCUUAUGCAGAUUGUUUCUGUGACAGUGCCCUUUCCCAGUGCAGAGCUGCCCACCUCACAUUAGUCACAAAUGCCUUUUGCUCCAUCACACCCAGCUGCAUUGCUCCUGAAACAAAUAAGGAACAUUCAAUGUAAUUAUAUUUCCAUAAAACUGAUACUUUUAUUUCCUUAGCUUUGACCUUUCGACUUUCCGGAGGCUUCCACCACCUUCUAUAUUGUUAAAGCUAUUUUCUCUGGCUCCAUUCUUAAAGUAAAAAUCUAAAUAAGCUUGUGUGCUUUAAAGCAGUCUGCACUGCCCUAUCUUAAGUCAGUUCUUGUGCACAGCACCAGGUUUGCUUUCCAAAUGCAAGCACAGAGUAGACAAAAAUGUAAAGAGGAGAGCUCAAAUACAAAGUAAGUGUGUAAAGAUACCAUUUUGAGCAAUUCUGAGUCAGCUGUUGAGUUUUCUAAUACCAUUCUCAUGUCACUUUGUUGUCAAUCUGUUGGCAAAUACCACUGGCACAGCAGCACAACCCAGGCACUGAUAAUGGACACGUUCAGCUUUCUUUGGUUCCUUAACAUGUGAAAAACUGUUGCUGCUUGCACGGGACAGCUGUCUUAGCCUGUGUUGGACAAGGAGAGGCCAAUGGGCAGUUAGUAUCAAGUGCAAGUAGUGUUUAGACAUUUCACUGUUCUGUAAGAUUGUAUUAGUCUAAACAGCAGUCUUCUGUCUCCUUCUGUCUCUUAAAGUUUUUUUUUUUAGCUGUCCUGAUUUAAUUUCAGAAACUGACUGUAGUUUCCUCUUAGAAGACAGCAAAAGUUCAUCAUUAGUAGAACAUUUGCAUGCCAGCCUGCAACCUCAACUUGGUUUAUUUCUGGGCUUCUCAACACACGGUCACUCUGCUGAAGGCGAUCCCACCCCUCCAUUAGCUUUUAAAAUCCAGUGAUCAGUUACCGGAAUCCCCCACGGAUCAAUGAUGGGGCUGUCCUAGCGUUUGCAUAACUGAUGUGGAAGAGCACACAUGGGAGGGUGAGCAGGUUUGUCCUCCAACCUGAAAUAGAAGAGUGAAAUGGUUAGUCAUCAGCACAGUGUUAAAAAAAGAUUUUGCAACGCUGAAUAAAAACAGUCGAUAAAACGGCAGAUGAAGCUCUAUGUCAGUAAUAUCCCAGCAGUGUGCUUGGGGUUUUAGCACUCAUAACGUACAGAGCGAAACUUGCAGCUGCCACACUGAGCAAAAAGCCUCAGAAUUAUGUUUUAUUUUUGGCAAAUAGCAACGUUACGCUAGGUAGUAGUCUAAACAACUGGAGGGAUUUCAGAGUUUACUAGAAACAAGAUAAGGACCUUACCUCUAUGAAUCCAUUUGUACUCAAAUACCGCUUCCCUGCAAGCACGGAAAGAAUAACAGUAAAGGGUAUCGAGAGCAACAGCAAAGAUGAGCAAAGGUAAGAAACAUACACAUAUACACGUGCAAAACAUCUUCUGUCUUCUGCACUGAACAAAGGGACCGAGAACAUGAUGAAGACAGAGAAAAUCACAAAGAGAAAAUGAUGGAUUUCCUGCACAAGAAAUUAACUGUCAAGCCAUGAAUCUGUAAACUAUAUAAAGCUCAGGUUUAAAAGUGGUUAGAGAAGUUAAUGACAGCUAAUAAGAACAUCAGGUCUGCUCACUACAUAGAAAUCCUCCUCAGCUCAGGAGGCCCACGUGCCAGUUACCAAUGGGGGUAAUCAGGAGCAGGAUCCUUCCUCCUUCCUCCUGCCAUCUAUUACUGUCUCUCUGAGUCAGGUGAACUGCGGGUGCCUGCUUGGAAAAGUAAGCUGCGAACCACAUCUGUAUUAAAAGGAGGGCUCAAAACGUAGAACAUUUCUCACUUGUGUAAACAGCACUGUGUAUUAAUCACAGAAAUACUGGCAUAAUUGGACACUUUAAAGUACAAAUGGAACUUCUCUGUCAGCUGGUUUCAGAUUAGAUAUUAAUAACAUUCCAACAGUGCCUCCAGCUAGAGGGAAUGAGGCCCACAGCACUACUUGAUUAUUACUGUAUUUUCAUAUACUAUGCCUACAAGGAUAAAAAUUGGUUUGGAAGUGGAAGCUGAUUUUAGAGCCCUUUAACUCCUCACUGAGAUACAGCCCUCUUAUGGCUGUUGGAUGCUUUUGCCAACUACAGAUGAAGAAAUAUUGUAUUCUGAAAGUUAGAGCUUGCUGGCAUCUGACACUCCUUCCUUACAUUCGAGCUUUGUAGCUCCUUAGGCUCAGUAUUACCAUCACAACAGUAAGUUAAGCGUGCCAAAAUACAGACAGAUUGGCAUUAAGGCUGUUUUAAAAACACUGUUAUCCUUAAGAAAGCUUUUCUAUGCUUUGUGUCCCCUUUUAGACUCUAAAUACUGGUCAGAGUUUGGAAUAAAUAAUACAAUCUACGUCCUUAUGAUACAGCCCAUCUUCAUAGCAAAGAGCACAUAAAGAACCGUUUUCUGCUUAUUUUUCUGUUGACAAGUUCUGCAUUAGAAAAGCACUUACACAAAGCCAAGCUUUGCACAACAAUAGUUUUCCUACUUCUCCCAAUGCACGUUCCCUGCAAAUAGCUACGUAUUAAUUCCUUCCUGUUAAAAUUACUUCAUGAAUUUUGAUCCGUGAUGCAAUCUCCCUAGAAGCCUUAUAUCGUGAUGCUGAAUUGAAAUGAAAUGUUUCCAUACUACAUGAUAAAUACCCAAGCAUUGUUAUGGAGAGCACCCCAAUGUUCUGAUAGAAUCCACACUUACCUACAUCCCAGGAUCAGCUAAGGUGAGGGUGGGUUACAAUGAACCUUACCGUGUGGUUUAUGAAGGUGAAUCCACAGAGCAGCUGAAAAAAUGUCCCGAAGCUUUACUUAAGCCUUCUGUGUCCUUUGCCAGAAGUGUGUUUCUGAGGAGCAGAAGGUAUUUCUGAGGGUGAAAGACAGGAGGGCAGGAGGUCGAAUUCCUUAAUAGCCACAACACAUCAAAAAAAACUGAUUUGGAAAAUCAAAAAAAGAUCAAAUUGUUGGCUUUUUUGGUAGCAUCUUUUGUAUAGCAUUCAUACAUACUGUGUAACCCUGUAAGAGUAACCAUAAAUAAAAAGCAUUUCUAGGAAACAUCAUACCAGUUAUUAAAACGUCCCCAGUUCUUUUAAGGCGUAACUACAGAAUAAAAGGGAAAACUUCAGUGACAGCUAUGGCUGGGAAGAAAAUAUGCUCUCAAGAUCAGGUACAGUAGCAGAUGACAGAUCAACCAGAGGCAGAGUAGGUCAGCAUCUCACCUGCAGUCUAGAUAGCGAUGGAAUCCACAGAGAGGAAUGGAGAUAUCUGCUCGUGUCACCUUGAGGACAGUGAUACUCAUCUGUCCGAUUCUGACAAUGUCUCUCUUUUUGUGUUGCUGUUUUUCACUUAAAAAAGGAGCGCUAACAGCAUGCACAAUUUCUCAAGAAUCGUCCGAGCCCAAGGCACUAGGGCUGCAUCCUUAAGCCAGGUGAUGGAAGUACGGUUAUGAACAAUUUCAUGAACUGCAGAGUUAAUAUUUACUGUUAUAAAUAGUUAUUAUUCUAUAACUAUUUCAGCAAAAUUCAAUAUGAAGGCUGGCUGAGGAACCAGACUGCGCAAUAGAACAGAGCCCAGAAAACAGAGCGAUAAGGAUACAUAGAUGUGCCUACAGACAAAUGUAAUCCACUUUGCUUACAGUGGGAUUAGUCUGCAGCUAAGAGGACUAUUUUACUAUUCAACAUUUUCAAAAUAGUCCAUGAAUUAGGACUUUGUUUUAAAAGUGCUGGCUUGAGAAAUGAUUAGCAUGCUUCUUAAUAGCCCAGAAUGACUCACAAGGCAUUGUGGUUGACACCAAUUGCAUUUUAAAGGUCUUCAUCUACAGAAGGCUAAUAAAAAAUAUUUUAGAUGCAUCUAAAUAUUGAAAUGGCUUUGAAAUCAUUAAAUUUUCC
ensembl:lncRNA